rnacentral:rRNA from 1 species
GACGAACGCUGGCGGCGUGCUUAACACAUGCAAGUCGAACGGAAAGGCCCCGCUUUUGUGGGGUGCUCGAGUGGCGAACGGGUGAGUAACACGUGAGUAACCUGCCCUUGACUUUGGGAUAACUUCAGGAAACUGGGGCUAAUACCGGAUAGGAGCUCCUGCUGCAUGGUGGGGGUUGGAAAGUUUCGGCGGUUGGGGAUGGACUCGCGGCUUAUCAGCUUGUUGGUGGGGUAGUGGCUUACCAAGGCUUUGACGGGUAGCCGGCCUGAGAGGGUGACCGGCCACAUUGGGACUGAGAUACGGCCCAGACUCCUACGGGAGGCAGCAGUGGGGAAUAUUGCACAAUGGGCGGAAGCCUGAUGCAGCAACGCCGCGUGCGGGAUGACGGCCUUCGGGUUGUAAACCGCUUUCGCCUGUGACGAAGCGCGAGUGACGGUAAUGGGUAAAGAAGCACCGGCUAACUACGUG